CGUAUGUUGACGUUUGACGUUUGAAUUCCGUAGGAUCGUUUUCUCCAACGACCAAAAGUUGCUUGAUGUUAAGAACUUUUUCCAUAGACUGGUUAAAGCAAUGUAGAGGACUCAUCAACUUGGCUGUUUCACUAAAUUGAGAGGUAGGUUCAUGGAGGUUGCCACUAGUGGAAUCACAUCAAACACUCCACUAAUGUGUACCAUGCCAUGCAGCAAAUCCAAAUGGGGCUCAUUUUUUUGCCAUUGAGGGUCAUGAAGUAACAUUGAUGCCAAGUGGGAACCAGCAGAGUGCCCUGCAAUCACCACAGACCUGGAAGAAAACAGAACAGCUGAUAUUGCUGAUUGAAUCUCCAAUAUAAUGUCCUUAAGUCCAACUAAUAUGUGCACAUUUAUCAAUAACAAAUUCUAGGUUGUUUAGUUGCAAUCUAACCUUUUGGAGCCAACUCAUAUCCAACAACAACAACGAUAUGCCCAGCCUUGAAUUGUGGAGUCACACUAUAAGAGGAAAUGCUCCUGUCCAAUGCCUGCCAGUAGCCACCAUGGAUGUAUACAAAUACAGGAGCAUCUAUAAAUUUAGGAAAGAAAUUCUAUUUUUAAAAAUGUCUUUUUUAAUAGAUUUAAUAGAUCAACAGAAAUACCGUUGGGCAAGAGCUGAGCUCCAAAAAUGUCAAAUUUUUCUCCUUCGCGUUCGCCAUAAGGAAUGUCCAAGUCACACUGAAUUUCCUCCUUUACUUGGUUACUAACUUAAUUAAAAAAGCAAGAAUUCUUUUAUGAUUCAGCGAUGAACAAUCAACUUAUCGAGAACUUUUUUUUAAAGAAAGACAGACUAUCUAUCCAUCCAUAAUUCCAUGUUGUUUAUGUUUAUUCGAGACCUAGCAGACGAGAAUUUUUCAGCUAUACAACGCAACAAGAAAAAUAAGAAAGGUAUUGAAAAUUUGAAAGCAUUAAGAAGGUAUCGAUGUUUCGAAGGGAUGGGUGAUUUAUUCACCUGCACUUCACACAUGUGCUUUAGGCUAGAUACUACAUAGAAAAGGCUUACAUAAUUGACCUUCUUUUAGAAUGUUAUUUAUAUCAGAGUUGGUGGUCAGUGGUUAGCCUAACUGCCCUUUAAAAGCAUCGACAAGAGUUCAAUUCCCCGUCAACGCAGAUGAACUUACCUUGAGUGACAAGUUUAACAUGGUUAUCAAAAACCCAAUCAGCUGGCCCUCUACGAGACCAUUUGCUGGGCGAGUAUUCGUCUUCUA